rnacentral:rRNA from 1 species
AUUGAACGCUGGCGGCGUGCUUAACACAUGCAAGUCGAUCGGUAACGCGGGGGCAACCCUGGCGACGAGAGGCGGACGGGUGAGGAACGCUUGGGAAUCUGCCCUUCAGCGGGGGACAACCCGGGGAAACUCGGGCUAAUGCCGCAUACGCUCCACGGAGGAAAGCCGGGGACCGCAAGGCCUGGCACUGAAGGAUGAGCCCAAGUCGGAUUAGCUAGUUGGCGGGGUAACGGCCCACCAAGGCGACGAUCCGUAGCUGGUCUGAGAGGACGAUCAGCCACACCGGAACUGAGACACGGUCCGGACUCCUACGGGAGGCAGCAGUGGGGAAUAUUGGACAAUGGGGGAAACCCUGAUCCAGCGACGCCGCGUGGGUGAAGAAGGCCUGCGGGUUGUAAAGCCCUUUCGGUAGGGACGAAAGCUCUUGCCCUAACACGGCAGGAGGUUGACUUAACCUACAUAAGAAGCACCGGCUAACUCUGUGCCAGCCGCCGCCGUAAUAC